CUCACACGGUGGUGUCCCUGGCGAGAACCUGCCCUUCGACAUCUCCAACCGCUACAAGCUGACUGUCUACUUCAUUGCAUUCUUCGGCUCCGGUCUGGCUGCCCCUUACCUCAUCUGCCGUCACCAGCUUUUGAAGAAGUAAGCUUCUAGCAUCCACGUUGCCGCAUCAAAAUGUUUUAGGGUUAAGCUAGCAAACUGUAUAUUUUAAUCAUAAUUUAUGAUUUAAUAAAUUCCGUUUAGAGUUA